UUUCUCUACUUCACAAAAUUUCUCAAUCGAGCUGGUGGUGUUGAGCACCAACAUUACCGACGGUGGAUAACGGAAAUAGAGACGGCAAAGAGUGGCGUUGGAAUUCAGUUUCUUCUCGCGAAAUCAGCAAAGUCAGUUCUUGAAGGUGCUGUCAGAUUCAAUGUUUUGGGCGUUCAAACAACUGAAGAAUGGAUGGGCCAUGAGGUGAAUUCAUUCAUGAUUUCAACAUCAGCAACAAAUGGAAUUUGGAGGUUUGGCAUGGAUCAAUUUAUAGGAUUCGUAUGUUGGGUUUGAAUUGAAUAUCUUAAUUGUGGACAAGUACAACAACAACGGUACCAGAUCGUGAAAUUAGGUCAACAAUGGAACUGAAAUUUGGGGGUUUUGUGAUUCAAGUUUGGGUCUUAAUGGAGGAAGAAAAGUACAGUCAGUUGUGGUGUUGUCUGGUACCUUGAAUGGGUUUGGUCUGUAACCUGAUCUUGAGUAGAUGGAUGUUGUAUGGGUGAUGUUUCAGUCGUACAAGGAGAUGAUUUUUGCUGUCAUGGCCGAGAACUAGAAGGGUUAAGAGCUCAAUUGAAAUGGUGCUGGUGAUGAUGGCAUCUGGGCAGUUUUCAGCCGUGAAACGGUGGCUGUACAGAUCUUGGAAGUGAAUGAAGCUGAGUUUAAUUUGGAGAUUUUAUAUAUCUGAAAUUGGAUCUUAAUACUGGCAGCAAAGGCAUGAAUGGUGAUUGAAUUGAGUAAUGAUGGGUUUCUGCUUUUGAAAUAAGAUUUGAGAUUGGGGGUUUAUCCCAUGGACAGAGUUUGAAUCAAUUCGAUUGUACAACAACAACAACAACAACAGAUGGAUUGGGGUUUGUUAAUAUGAAAUUUUAUUGUUUGUGCUUCAACUAUGCUGGUGUGUUGGUUUAGAUGGUGCAACCAGUGGGAGACGAGUGAAUUCAGAUUGCAGCUCUUGUAUCUCGGCUAAGAAGCAAGUUGUGGUUUGUCUGUUGGAUGUUGAUGGGUUACAUGGAAUGGAAUGAGGCCGUAAUUAAGGCUCAACAACCGAUUUCAGCUGGUGUGAGCAGAAAUAUGUGGAAGACGUUACAGCUAUAUGGAGUGCUUUCCCCUAAUCCAGGAAGUGUUUGAAUCAAGUAGUUAGAGAAGAAGUCAAGUUGUUGAUGUAUAAAGGAUGAGCUUAAUCAACCAAGAAGGAAAUAUCUAAUGGCUAUCUACACAACAAUGAGACGCUAAACCUCUCUUUGCCAAGAUAAGAGGGGACACUUAAUGGGUUCAAUGUUCUUAAGUUAUCAUCAAUAAGUCUUUUUAAAUGCUUAAUCCAUUUCAUCUUUGUUUGAUUACUAUUUUGUGUUGAGUGUGUCUAUAAACUUCUUAGAUUUAGUGUGAUUUUCGGAUACAUUGAAUGUUAUGAAAUCCCUGUGACAUUUCUCAACAGGGCUUUAUAUUUAGAACAUAAUAUCAAUCUUUAUGUAAUGGUACUUUUAGUUACACUCAGAAAUUUAUAUGUCUUAUCUUUCGGGUAGA